rnacentral:rRNA from 1 species
UACGUGGGGUGCAAGCGUUGUCCGGAAUUAUUGGGCGUAAAGAGCUCGUAGGCGGUUUGUUGCGUCGGCUGUGAAAUCCCGAGGCUCAACCUCGGGUCUGCAGUCGAUACGAGCAAACUAGAGUGUUGCAGGGGAGACUGGAAUUCCUGGUGUAGCGGUGAAAUGCGCAGAUAUCAGGAGGAACACCGGUGGUGUAGACGGCUU